ACUUCAUGGAGAGUUUGAUCCUGGCUCAGGACGAACGCUGGCGGCGUGCCUAAUACAUGCAAGUCGAGCGGACCGACGGGAGCUUGCUCCCUUAGGUCAGCGGCGGACGGGUGAGUAACACGUGGGUAACCUGCCUGUAAGACUGGGAUAACUCCGGGAAACCGGGGCUAAUACCGGAUGCUUGAUUGAACCGCAUGGUUCCAAUCAUAAAAGGUGGCUUUUAGCU
rnacentral:rRNA from 1 species